GAAGGGUUUGCUUGAAAAGAAGUUACUGUCUCUAUCAGCAGGCGCUUUUGAUCAUUUCGUCCAGCUCGGUUAUUGAGGAUUACAUGCGUCAGACAGGGACCAAGUUGAAGAUAGAUCUAUAAAUCUAGUCGCUUGGCGAUUUAGACCUGCUCCAACAGGUUGGACCUGGACGACCUCCUUCCAUCUGCAGACGUCUGCUUCGAUGUAUAAAUGCAUUCAAGACUCGGGAAAUUAAGUUUCAUCUUCGUUUUAUUUUUUCCAUGUACCAGGUACCGAUCUCCUUGACCAAAAGGGAGCUAUGUUUACUCGAAAAUCCAGCUUUGUGCUGGUGCUGGCCAACGCUUUACCAUUGCUUGCAUCCUCCGUCGCUGAAAUCUUCAGCGUUUCUGAUGCCGACUGGCGAGCUCUCAAUGUAAGUGUUGAGGGCCGUCUCGGUGUGUUACAGCCCCUUGCGGAACCUUGUUACCUCAGGUACGAGCCAUCGAUCGUGCCACUCCUCCGUACUCCGGACCAAGGAGUUUGCAAGAUCGCACAGGGCAACCGACGCAAUGUCGAUUUUAUUACCUCGCAGCCC
rnacentral:sRNA from 1 species